CCAUCGCCACCAUCUUUAUGGUCAUCUCCAGGGAGAAGAAGGCAAAAAUGAUAUCAUCGAACAUCUGGAAGAAACAAGCAGAGGAACGCGGCUUGAUUAGAACAGGCCAGUAACCGAGAGGUAUGAAUACGUACCUGCAGUAUUUUACAUCGAUUCGUUACGCACUGAUCGUCCACGCACGGCUGGUACAUCCCGAGCGUGAUGCAGUUCAGAAGGAUCACCAUCAUGCUCACCCUUUCGAACCACCAAAUGCUCCAGUUCACACACAAUGGAUUCCACAUCGGUGUGCACGGGUGGCACGUCGUCCGACAGGUGUAUCCGCUCAAAUAGAAAACGGCUGAAUGUACGAGAGGCUUUGCGCGCUGAACCUAAUGGAUCGUGUUGUUGUUGCUGUUAACUUUCAUCCCCUUAUGAGGCAUUCACCGCUCUUGUUACCAAGCCUUCCGCAGCAGCUUAAUCAUUUAUAACAGUCGCAUGAAGAAAGGACAUACGACUGCAUUGCUCAAGCAUCAAAUUCACACGUGAUGAUGCCGCUCGUCUUUUAAAGCGUAGUAAGUAAGUAUAUAUAAUUGUAUAUAUAAUUGUUUCUUUUAUCAUUGAACGAUUAUCGUUAUAUCAUAUUUAUCAAACAAAUUUAUUGACUUAUUUUGUCUCAAUUAGAUCUCAUUGUAUGUUAGAUAAUUUAAAAUAUAAUUUUAUCACAG